rnacentral:rRNA from 1 species
GGACGACCGCUGGCGGCGUGCUUAACACAUGCAAGUCGAACGGAAAGGCCCUGCUUGCCGGGUACUCGAGUGGCGAACGGGUGAGUAACACGUGGGUGAUCUGCCCUGCACUUCGGGAUAAGCCUGGGAAACUGGGUCUAAUACCGGAUAGGAGCCAUUUUUAGUGUGAUGGUUGGAAAGUUUUUUCGGUGUAGGAUGAGCUCGCGGCCUAUCAGCUUGUUGGUGGGGUAAUGGCCUACCAAGGCGGCGACGGGUAGCCGGCCUGAGAGGGUGGACGGCCACAUUGGGACUGAGAGACGGCCCAGACUCCUACGGGAGGCAGCAGUGGGGAAUAUUGCACAAUGGGCGCAAGCCUGAUGCAGCGACGCCGCGUGGGGGAUGACGGCCUUCGGGUUGUAAACUCCUUUCGCUAGGGACGAAGCUUUUUGUGACGGUACCUAGAUAAGAAGCACCGGCUAACUACGUG